GAGGUAAAAAUGUUUUGGAGAGUGUUACUUGACUAAAGGUAAGUCAAAGUUUGAGUUUGAUAUGCUUCAUGUGUACUAAAGCAUUUGAAAGUGUGAUUGAAAGUCCAUUGACUAAAAGUAAGCCAAAGUUUAUGUUUGAAAUGCUUCAUGUGUUCUAAAGCAUUUUCAAGUGUAAUAAAGAAAAUCAAUUGACUAAAAGUAAGUCAAGGUUUGAAUGAGUGUUUUAGUUUGAAAAAG
rnacentral:lncRNA from 1 species